GCAAGAUACCACGGGCGCACGGCGGAUGCCUUGGCACAGGGAGCCGAUGAAGGACGCGGCAAGCUGCGAUAAUCCCCGGCGAGGAGCACACAUCCUUCGACCCGGGGGUCUCCGAAUGGGCGAACCCAUCCACAGCAGUGUGGAUAUCCCCACCCCGAACACAUAAGGGUGGGGAGGACAACCCGGGGAACUGAAACAUCUAAGUACCCGGAGGAGAGGAAAUCAAUCUCGAGACUCCCCGAGUAGCGGCGAGCGAAAGGGGACCGAUGGCCAAACCGUCGAGCGGGCAUACCCGGCAGGGGUUCCGCCGACGGGGUUGCAGGGCCGCGCAUCCGGGGGCUGCCGCCCCCGGGCGCAGGUCCGGCUGGGGAGCGGAACGGCAUGGGAGGGCCGGCCGCAGCGGGUGACAGCCCCGUACGCGAACCCAGACCGGACGGCGCGACGCGGUCCCUGAGUAGGGCCGGGCACGUGAAACCCGGUCCGAACCUGGGUGGACCACCAUCCAAGCCUGAGUACUACCCUGUGACCGAUAGCGCACCAGUACCGUGAGGGAAAGGUGAAAAGCACCCCGGGAGGGGAGUGAAACAGUACCUGAAACCGUGCGCCCACGAGCAGUCGGAGCACCCUUGUGGUGUGACGGCGUGCCUUUUGUAGAAUGAGCCAGCGAGUCGCUGGCGCGGGGCGAGGUUAACCGAAAGGGAGCCGGAGCGAAAGCGAGCCUUAACAGGGCGACUUGAGUCCCGCGCCGCGGACGCGAAGCCGGGUGAGCUAUCCGUGGGCAGGCUGAAGCGGGGGUAAGACCCCGUGGAGGGCCGAACGCACGUCGGUUGAAAACGGCGGCGAUGACCUGCGGAUAGGGGUGAAAGGCCAAUCAAACCCGGAGAUAUCUCGUUCUCCCCGAAAUAGCUUUAGGGCUAGCGUCGCGCGUUCACCGCCGGAGGUAGAGCACCGGAUGGACGAGGGGGCUUCGCCGCCUACCGAAUCCAACCGAACUCCGAAUGCCGGCGGCCCAGAGCGCGGCAGUCAGAGCAUGUGGGCUAAGCUGUGUGCUCGAGAGGGAAACAGCCCGGACCGCCCGCUAAGGUCCCCAAGUUCCAGCCGAGUGGCAAAGGAUGUGCGUCCGCCCAGACAACCAGGAUGUUGGCUUAGAAGCAGCCAUGCAUUCAAAGAGUGCGUAACAGCUCACUGGUCGAGUGGACAUGCGCCGACAAUACACGGGGCUAAGCAUGGCGCCGAAGCGGCGGACUAAUAGAAUUAGUGGUAGGGGAGCUUCCCCGGGGGGGCGAAGCCGGAGGGCGACCUCCGGUGGACCGCCGGGGAGUGAGAAUGCUGGCACGAGUAGCGAGAGCGGGGCGAGAAACCCCGCCGCCGCAAGCCCAAGGUUUCCUGGGCGAUGCUAAUCAUCCCAGGGUCAGCCGGGAGCUAAGGCGAGGCCGAGAGGCGCAGCCGAUGCGCAGCUGGCAGACAUUCCAGCGCCGCUCCCGCGCCGCUACGACCGAAGGGGCGACGGAGAAGGGCAGCCGGGCGGGGUUCUGGACGUCCCCGUGAAAGCGCGUAGGGGGCAGGGCAUGGAAAUCAGCCCUGCACGUGCCCCGAGACGCGAGACGAAGCCUCCAUGGCGAAGCCGGUCAUCCCAUGCUCCCGAGAAAAACCCCUAGGCAGGCGCGGGCGCGCCCGUACCAAGACCGACACAGGUGGGCGGGUAGAACAUACCGAGGCGAUCGGGAGAACCAUGGUCAAGGAACUCGGCACACUGGCCCCGUAACCUAGGGAGAAGGGGCGCCCCCCGGCGUGAAGGAGCUGUGCCUCCGGAGCGCGGGGGGGCCGCAGCGAAACGGCCCAAGCGACUGUUUACCAAAAACACAGGACUCUGCCAAGCCGCGAGGCGAAGUAUAGGGUCUGACGCCUGCCCGGUGCCGGAAGGUUACGCGGAUGCGUUAGCAGCGAUGCGAGGCGCUGAAGCCAAGCCCCGGUAAACGGCGGCCGUAACUAUAACGGUCCUAAGGUAGCGAAAUUCCUUGUCGGGUAAGUUCCG
rnacentral:rRNA from 1 species